AGCUGGCGGAGUGCCACCAAACACAGCAAGCUCUUUUUCUUCAAAACAGUAGCCAGUGCGCAGGCAUGGGACGCAUCAGCGGCAGUGGAAGGUUGCCGGAGCACCAUCAAACACGAUGAUCGUAGGCAAUUGGAUCAACCCAUUCCCAGGAGGAAAUUGCUCAGGCUAUUCGAGCAUUGCAUUCUGGGAAAUCCCCAGGACCCGAAGGAUCCUCCGGAGAGUGUUAUAAGGCGUUUUCCUCCUUGAUUAUACCACAGUUAUGUUCUACCCUUACAGAUUCCUUUAAGAUAUUUCCCCUUACUGUGAUAGAUGUACUAACGGAGUGGCCACAGUAAUUCAUAUGUUUUGGACAUGUCAGCCUUGAAAAAUUCUGGAGAGAUGUAUUUCAAACUUUUUCUGGACUUUUCAAUGUCAGCUUCAAGCCCAAUCGUUUGACUGCCUUGUUUGGUAAUGUUGAGGAUAGUACUACAAAGCUGAAGCCAUCUAAUUUGCGGGUAUUGGCCUUUAUGUCUCUUAUGGCCAGGAGGGUGACCUUGCUCAAGUGGAAGGAGGCUGCUCCGCCCACUCAUGUUCAAUGGCUAUCUGACGUUAUGUUGUGCCUUGAUCUAGAGAAGAUUCGUUGUUCGAUUUCUGAUUCUAAACAUGAUUUUCUAAUGUUAUGGGGAUCCUUUCUGAAUUAUUUUCACAAUCUUUGAACUGUUAUUAAAGUAUGGAUCUGAGCCAUUAUUAUUAUUAUAAUAUCAAAUGGUAAGGUGUUUCUCUUUUUCCUUUUUUUUUAC